GGUGGACUGAAUGAACAGCAUACGUUGGCAAACCACGCUGCUGUUCUCAGUACACUAUCUCUCAAGACAUUGCGAUCUGACCAGUGGAAAAACAGGAUGUGGUUAACUUUAUGGCUGUAAACGAUACUGACAUCUGUAGUGGUUAAAUAACUGCCUGCAUAUUGCCACGUAGAUAUGCUGUUGUCCUAUGUAUGUACGUGAUGUUAUACAAUAGUUAAAGGUCAUAGGCUGUUUAUGGAGAAAAAAUAAUCCACGCCUCCAGGCGGAGGUAAUAAUAAAAGCGGAGACCAGAAUUACGAGGGGGGCUCCGAAAUUGAACUCUGGUCUCACCGUGUCUCACUGUGUCGUGAUAUCUACAUCUGGUGACCCCGACGUGAUUCAGAACAAACACCCUCAUACCCACUGGCAGGAUCAGCCAACGGUGCACCUCAGCGUACAGCUCCCAUUCAUAGCUGCAGUACUGGCAGAAGUGACCAGGGAGAAACCGGUUCCGGCAUUUUCAGCAGUCGGAGUCUCUACCUGCCCCGCGGGUGCAGUUUCGGCAACUACCAAAUCCAGAGUGGAAAGGCCCAGUUCCGCUUAUAACGUGGGGUCGAGGUUACGCGGCUGUGUCUACGCCUGACGGUCCUGUGUGGGUACCUGCUAGGUGUAUCCGGCCCUGGAAAGACGAUGUCCUGGCACGAUAAUCUUAAGAAUCCCAUCCCUAAUUUUUCUCUGCAACUUCAGGAUACUGGGAUGUCUUCCAGGAAGCGUGGUCGGAAUGUUCCGCAACCUCCCGUGACUUGGGGCCAAAUAAAGAACUUAGCAACACAAGCAGAAAAAGCAAUGGAACAAGCCGGGGUGGACAAGACAACUGAGAAUACCAUUCUUGCUUUAAUUGCGUCUUUAAAUACAAAUUCUAUUUUUGUACUUUGCAUUUGUUGGAUUUUAGGAAGCGCCGGGGCUGACAGGUUGGGGCAGGAGUUGGGGAUGCGGUUUCAACACAAUAUCUGGGUUCAGUUAGCAAGAAUGACAAAUGUGAGUGACUUUUGCAUGACUGAACAUGUACAGGAAAUGGGUAUGUUGGGAACAUGUUUAAUACCCGUAUGCAAAGCACCUGGGGAUAUUGGGAACAUUACAGGACUUGGGCGAUUCAUGAAUACUUCAGAGAUUAAAUAUCAUACUGUUUCGAAUUGGGGAACUCCAACCUUCCAGCUGCCUGUUGAUGCUUUUCAAUUAUUUACAUCACAUGUUGCAAAUUCCAUUAAUAAUACGUGUGCUCGGAUGGCUAAGUCAGAUUCUUAGAUAUGCUAUUCUUUUACUCAUUUUAAGUAUAGGCUUAUGCUGUUUUUUACAAUACCUUUUCCAGACGUGUACACCUGUUGCUCCGCGACCAUUACGUAGUAAUUACUUUUUGCUAAAAAAUAAAAAAGGGGGAGAUGUGGGGUGGACUGAAUGAACAGCAUACGUUGGCAAACCACGCUGCUGUUCUCAGUACACUAUCUCUCAAGACAUUGCGAUCUGACCAGUGGAAAAACAGGAUGUGGUUAACUUUAUGGCUGUAAACGAUACUGACAUCUGUAGUGGUUAAAUAACUGCCUGCAUAUUGCCACGUAGAUAUGCUGUUGUCCUAUGUAUGUACGUGAUGUUAUACAAUAGUUAAAGGUCAUAGGCUGUUUAUGGAGAAAAAAUAAUCCACGCCUCCAGGCGGAGGUAAUAAUAAAAGCGGAGACCAGAAUUACGAGGGGGGCUCCGAAAUUGAA